UGAAUAUUGUACAAGUCAGUUAACAGUUGUGUUUAACACUGGUGUAGAUGUAGGAGUGUGAUUCUGCACCAAGUGUGUGUGUGUGUGUGUGUGUGUGUGUGUGUGUGUGAGAGAGAGAG